UAAACCAGACUCCCGAUGCCCAAAGAUCACCACUAAUACACGAUGACAACAGUAAUAAGAAGUGAAAAAGAUAAUAGCAUAUGUGAAGUACGAAAGAAAAAAAAAAUCUCAGUUUGAUCAAUGUCUGCAAAAAAUAUCUGGGUUUGUGAAGGAUGAAAUCUAUUUUCUAGGUUUGAUCAAAUGAUUGAUUAGAUGUCAGAUGCUAAUUUAUAAAAAAAUGGGCGACACUGACUUUAUUAAAUUGAGAAAUGUUGUCACUAGACGAGUGCUCUUUCAUCACAUCAUAUUUUUUCUAUUAAGUUUUGGUUUUAAUAGAAACUGUUUCUAAAAUCAUGAGGUAAUACGUUAUAUUUUGACUCAUAUAUUUACACAUAAAAGUGUAUCCAAAUUCAUUGAAAGUAUGUAAAAGGAAUUGUAAAAUUUUAUCAAACAUGAAUGACACAAGAUUUUAAGUCUUUAAUUGAAUAAUAAUGGAUGUUAAAUUCUUUUAAUGAAGAGUUGUAAAUACAAGAACCAAUAGCAUAAGAUUUCAAAAAUCUUUUACCAAAAUAUUUCAAAUACAAACACGAAUAACACAAGAUUUUGAUAAAAGAUUUAAAAUCAAUAAUUGAAUAAUACUACAAUGUUAAACCAAAAGAAUUAACUUUAAAUCCAGUAACCAAUAAUACCUGUCUUUUUGUUUUUUUUUUAAAAUUUCUUAGAGGCAAUUGUGUUUUCUAAAUUAGUUAUUGUAACGAUAUUCAUUGAUAGUGAAUAAAGGGAAGACAAGCUUUUGGUAUUGAUUUCAUCCUAAGUCUAAAGCACAAAGUAGGGUUUAAAACCUAACAUCUGUGGGCAGCUACGCAAUUAAAAGCAAAGACACACUUUGGUGAAUAAGAUUAAGACGAUGAACAUUUUGCGGUUAUUCAUUUCGCUUAAGGAUUACAGAAAGCUUAACGUCUUAUUUAUACAGAGAAUAUCUAUACUAUACUAAAAGGGGGAUAUGAGCUCCAUUGAGCCUAUCCACCUCAGCAAAUUAAAUCAGCCACUUAGAAUAUGAGUUUGUGCCAUGUCAACUCUCAAUAACUAUAAUCACAAGCCACAUCAUCUCAUCAGUUCACGUUCUUAGUUUCUUCAGCUUCCUCCUCCCAACGUAAGCAUUUAUCGCACACACAAAACUGGUUCGGUUUCUUCUCAUAUUUUGUAUUUAUAGGAGUCAUAGUUCUGUCUAACCCUAAUCCCAUGAGAAGCCUUCCUCUCCCCCGAGACAGUCAAGCCUACUCAACGUGAAAGAACAAAAUCAUUGUAGUAGCCAUUAUCUCUCCGGUCCUGAUCAUAUCCUUGAUAUAGGUCUGAAAUUCUUGACACAUCUUUUUAAUGUCUGCGUCCAUAUACCUUAUGAUAUUUUCUGGCCAUGUUUUACAGAUACGUUUGUACGGAAGCAAUUGGAAACUUCAGGGCAAUACCUCGAACCCGGUCAGAAUCUUUGUAUUUGAUGGCUUACUGAUUCUCAGAAUCUUUACAAUAUUCUCUAUAUGUUUAAUGUUUGUAUGUAAGGUUACCUAAAAGCUUCAAUUUAUUUAUCCAUCUUCUAAUAUCUAGAUUUAAAAUAUGAUUUUUGGUUUGUUUCUAUAGUAACAAGUGUAUGGUCCAAGGUAGUUUCCAUAGCAGAAGGGUUGUAUGCUAGAUUCUCUGCUGCAUCAGUUUUUUUAGGUCCUUACAAGGCUGGUUCUUUUUUCUUUGUUGACACCUGCAAUAAGAAUCUUGACACGUUCGGUGACAAUCACUACUACGCACAGAAGGUGGAUACGAUGCACAGUUUGAUCAAAGUCCAUGGAGAUUGUUGUUAAGGAAACAAAUGAAGCUAAAAUGCUAAGAGCAGAGAAUAGUUGUGGCCAGAACCAGCCUUGAUCAAGGUGUUAACGCAGAAUUCUUAAGACUGAAUUGGAAUCAAGUAGAAUUUGUUUUGUAGAUAUGAAAUCACUCAGUUGUUGUAUUUGAUUAUAUUAUAGGUAAGAGUAAUAUCCCUUUGAGAAUUGGCUAGAUUGAUCAAGGAAAAACGUUUUUCAAGCCAGGGUUAGGAAAAACAUCCCUUUAGGUUGCACAAUAUAAAUGUAGUAUCAAUGAUGGAAAGGUGCUACAUGAUGUUUUUCUUUCAAAAAGACGCACCUCUAUUCGUACGGCAGCAACACGCUUUAGUUGCAGGAAAGUGUUGGUUAUUAUUCUCUUUUUUAUUUCCUUAAGGUUUUUUUGCUAACGAUUUGGUAAUAAGUUUAGUUUGUUCCUUAUGUUGAACAAAUGAAGGAAAAGUUGCUGCAAAAGAUUCAAAAACAGAGCAAAAACCAUAAAGGCCAAGUACAUGGAUGAUCUUUUUGGGGUGUGUACAGUACAUAAGUAGUAUGUAGUUGGAGACACGAUUUGGUUUAAAAUAUGACGUUGAAUGUUGUGGUUGACUCGAAGAAGUUAACUUUUGUGUUACAAACUUUCUCUUUAGUUAGAAGCUGCUAUAAUUUUUGGUUACAAUUUGCAAGAAAAAGUUAUGCCUUGUGGGAGUUGUGUUUUACAUUCUCCUAAAUUGUAACAGAUCUUCAGACAGAAUUAGUCGUUAGUUUCAUCUGAGAUUUGACUUUUUGUUAGAAAUUAUAUUGGUUCUUCGACAACAAUCAAGGCCUUGGAUUCUCAAGCUUAUCUCUCUUUUAGUGUCUCAUUGUUUGCAAAAAAAAAAACAAAGGCAAAUAUGUUUGUGAUCUUCUAAAAACAUAGUCUUUCUUUUUUUUAAACAAAAUCUUUACAUUGUGAAUGUGAGUUCCUUAGCCUGUGGAAAAUUUUGAAUUUCAGGUGGAAGGUGAGGAUGCUCAAAUUAUAAAGAGAACAAAAAAUGUGAUUUUAGGAGCUCCUAUAUGGGGGAUGUGCUCUGUUACUCUUUUCUCCUUAUUUCCUUUUUUUCCUUAGUAUUUGAGCUCAAAGAAGAUCUUUUAGUACUAAACCAUUACCUCAUAUCUUAAACUACUCAUCUUGCUUUCAGUAUGCAACAUGGUAAACAGUUUUCUUUAAUCACAAUAAAAUAUAAAAAUCUUCAAUGCAUGUAAUCUAAAAAAUAUUUGGGGAUAUACUUGCAGGCGCUGCACACUCAUAGAAUCUGGAACUGCACAUUUAUAUGAUGAGCUAGAGAUAUAGGUAGUUGAAAAAAACGAAGGAAUCAAUGAAACAGCAACAACUGUGCUUCAUCAACAAUUUUAAAGCUGUGAAAAAGCGAUAAAAGCAUCACAAUCACAGAUUCUUCACCUAAGCGGACUUAACAAUAAUAUAUUGUAAAGUUACAGCAAAAAACAAUAAUAUAUUGUAUACUGCAUAUACAAAAAUAUUAAUUCUGUGUUAAUCUAAAAUUAAUAUAAAAAUAUGAAAACACCAGGUGUAAAGAUUAAUGUAUUUAUAUAUUUUGAAUAAAAGUAAGAGAUAA